GAUGAACGCUAGCGGCAGGCUUAAUACAUGCAAGUCGAGGGGCAGCAGUUUUGUAGCAAUACAGAAGCUGGCGACCGGCAAACGGGUGCGGAACACGUACGCAACCUUCCUUUAACUGGAAGAUAGCCCACCGAAAGGUGGAUUAAUACUCCAUAACAUAUUGAAGAGGCAUCUCUUUGAUAUUAAAGCUCCGGCGGUUAAAGAUGGGCGUGCGUCUGAUUAGGGAGUUGGCGGGGUAACGGCCCACCAAGCCUUCGAUCAGUAGCUGAUGUGAGAGCAUGAUCAGCCACACGGGCACUGAGACACGGGCCCGACUCCUACGGGAGGCAGCAGUAAGGAAUAUUGGUCAAUGGACGCAAGUCUGAACCUGCCAUGCCGCGUGGAGGAUGAAGGCCCUCUGGGUUGUAAACUUCUUUUCUUUGGGACGAAACCCCUGUUUCUACGGGGACUGACGGUACCAGAGGAAUAAGCACCGGCUAACUCCGUGCCAGCCGCCGCGGUAACAC
rnacentral:rRNA from 1 species